UUUUGGUAGGAAAGGCGGUAGUAGAAACUUGCCGCCUUCUACUUGGGCAGAAGUUGACCCUCCAGGGGACUGCCACUGCCUGUCUAAAUCCUUGUACAUGUUCGACCGAAUCUACGAGUUACAAAAAAAAAAAAAAAAAAUCACACUUACCGAGAAAUGGUUUCCUGUAAGUUUCUCUACAAAAACCCAAGUACUCUGCUAGAAGUCUCUCUCCAGACUCCGCUCGCUCUCUCUCUCUCUCUCUCUCUCUCUCUCUCACGCACACAGAACACAGUCCGACAGGCACACUAGUUCAAUGGUCGAUGUGAAAAGGUUGCAAGAAAAGCAAAAAAACAAGUACAACAAUAGAAAGAGAGAAAGAGACCCAGAAGAUGAAGCAGCAACGGCAGCUAAAAGAGAAGGAAAGGAAGAAAAGAAAGAGGUAAUUGUACUGAAGGACCCACUGAAGGUGUUUGGCAGGGACAUCAUGUCCAUGAUUCUGGACAACCUCGACGCAGUGGCGUGCUCUCUCUCCUCGUCUCGCAUGCAUGGCACGGCGUCGCUUCCAGUGACCGCCUUUGGAGUUCCAAGUGUGAUGAAUUGUGGCUGGGAAAAGCACACAUGCCUAGGUUGUUGCAAAUUCAGGGCUUGUCAAAGUUGGCCGCUUAUUCAUUAUCUUAUGUGGAUGGCAAGCGUGCACGCAUAAUGAAGGAUGAUUUGUGUGACCAUGUUUGGGAUUUCCAUUUUAACAAGUUUGUCGAGGCUUUGUCGGCUAAGAGUGGAUUUUGCGUUUGGUUUACUCCGCUGAUAAAUCUGAGAUUUAACAGGAGUUCGAAGGCUACUGUUGGUUUGGGAUGAAAAAGAGAUUCUUUGCAAGCAUCACACAAAGGCCAUCAUUUAUUCCGUUGCCUUAUCAAUGACAACAAGGGCUGAAGACACCUUUCACUACUUCAAUCAAGAAUGUUUACCGUGUUUUGUUUAUGUAUAUUAAAUCAUGUUUAACAUGUUUAAAAACCUGUACAUAUCUUUUUUUGCCCAAAACUCAACAAUAUUUUUUGCAUCCCCAUACAACAGCAUCUCCUCAUUUUUUUGUAUGCAAAAGCUGGAACACAAAGUAUAUUAGAUGGGGUUAUUAGAAGAAAUUCAGUUAUUCUUAUGUUUUUUGUAUCUUUGUACCAGGAAUUUCUAUGUUUUGUAACUGAAUGUAAUCCUCCUUUUCCAGUUAACGCUUUUCCAAAUUCCCGCGGCAACGCGCGGGUAUUACGCUCUAGUGAAAUUCUAGACCUGGUUGUGGUGAAAUUAGUUAUUUGAAUUUUAAGCCCUUGUUUAUUAC